AGAUUGAACGCUGGCGGCAGGCCUAACACAUGCAAGUCGAGCGGCAGCACGGGUACUUGUACCUGGUGGCGAGCGGCGGACGGGUGAGUAAUGCCUAGGAAUCUGCCUGAUAGUGGGGGAUAACGCUCGGAAACGGACGCUAAUACCGCAUACGUCCUACGGGAGAAAGCAGGGGACCUUCGGGCCUUGCGCUAUCAGAUGAGCCUAGGUCGGAUUAGCUAGUUGGUGGGGUAAUGGCUCACCAAGGCGACGAUCCGUAACUGGUCUGAGAGGAUGAUCAGUCACACUGGAACUGAGACACGGUCCAGACUCCUACGGGAGCAGCAGUGGGGAAUAUUGGACAAUGGGCGAAAGCCUGAUCCAGCCAUGCCGCGUGUGUGAAGAAGGUCUUCGGAUUGUAAAGCAACUUUAAGUUGGGAGGAAGGGCAGUUACCUAAUACGUAUCUGUUUUGACGUUACCGACAAGAAUAAGCACCGACUAACUCUGUG
rnacentral:rRNA from 1 species